CUCCAAGUCUCUCUUUAUUGUCAUAUAGUAUCGAUCCACUAUAGUGUACAUUACAUGACGUAGCACGGAGGGGCGGAGCGAGAAAGAGAGACUUGUCAACUUCGGAAAAUCUCGGUUCAAAACUGAACCGAAAGUGCAAGACCUGCUUUAAUUUCUGAAUUUAAUUUUUAAAUUUCUGUCAGUGUUUAUAUGUAUUGAUCUAGCACAGUGUAAAUAACAUGAGUUCCAUUAUAGUAAAUAAUACAGAAAGAAAUUGAAGGAGAACAAUUAAAGAAAGUCUUGCAUUUUCGGUUCAGUUUUGAACCGAGAUUUUCCAAAGUUGACAAGUCUCUCUUUCUCGCCCCGCCUCUCCGUGCUACGUCAUGUAAUGUACACUAUAGUGGAUCGAUAUGACAAUGAAAGAGAGACUUGGAGCAAGUCUAGUUGUUUAGUGGAG